GCGCUCUUAGUUCAAUUCGGUAGAACAUGGGUCUCCAAACCCAAUGUCGUAGGUUCAAAUCCUACAGAGAGUG
rfam:Gossypium raimondii chromosome 9, whole genome shotgun sequence.